UCCCUGGUGGCUCAGGGGGUAAAGCAUCUGCCUGUAAUGCAGGAGCCUGGGUUCGAUCCCAGGUUGGGAA
rnacentral:tRNA from 1 species